rnacentral:rRNA from 1 species
CCCUUAGAUGUCCUGGGCCGCACGCGCGCUACACUGAGUGUCUGAGAUACGAGUCUGCCUGGUCCGGCAAGGUCUAGGUAAUCGCUAAAAGACACAUCAUGCUUGGGAUAGAUUAUUGCAAAUAUUAAUCUUGAACGAGGAAUUCCUAGUAAGCACAAGUCAUCAGCUUGUGUUGAUUACGUCCCUGCCCUUUGUACACACCGCCCGUCGCUCCUACCGAUUGAAUGUUCCGGUGAGCUCUUCGGACUGCGCGGUCUGCAGUUUCUGCGUUCCGUGCGGAAAGUUGCGCAAACCUUAACAUUUAGAGGAAGGAGAAGUCGUAACA